GAUGAAGAACGUAGCGAAAUGCGAUAAGUAAUGUGAAUUGCAGAAUUCAGUGAAUCAUCGAAUCUUUGAACGCACAUUGCGCCCGCCAGUAUUCUGGCGGGCAUGCCUGUUCGAGCGUCAUUUCAACCAUCAAGCCCCCGGCUUGUGUUGGGGACCUGCGGCUGCCGCAGGCCCUGAAAACCAGUGGCGGGCUCGCUAGUCACUCCGAGCGUAGUAAUACAUCUCGCUCAGGGCGUGCUGCGGGUUCCGGCCGUUAAAAAGCCUUAUUUACCCAAGGUUGACCUCGGAUCAUGUAGGAAGACCCGCUGAACUUAAGCAUAUCAAAAGCGGAGGA
rnacentral:misc_RNA from 1 species